UGGGCGCAAGCCUGAUGCAGCGACGCCGCGUGAGGGAUGACGGCCUUCGGGUUGUAAACCUCUUUCAGCUCUGACGAAGCGUGAGUGACGGUAGGAGCAGAAGAAGCACCGGCCAACUAC
rnacentral:rRNA from 1 species